UACAGAGGUCUCAAGCGUUGUUCGGAUUCAUUGGGCGUAGGGUGCGUAGGCGGCGCGGUAAGUCGGGUGUGAAAUCUCGGAGCUUAACUCCGAAACUGCAUUCGAUACUGCCGUGCUUGAGGACUGGAGAGGAGACUGGAAUUUACGGUGUAGCGGUGAAAUGCGUAGAUAUCGUAAGGAAGACCAGUGGCGAAGGCGGGUCUCUGGACAGUUCCUGACGCUGAGGCACGAAGGUCAGGGGAGCAAACGGG
rnacentral:rRNA from 1 species